AUCAAACUAAGAUACACAACUUCAGCUACGUGAAGUUGGAGUUGACAUAUCUUAGUUUGAAUUUCUACGGCAUCCCCACUGCGAAGGUCAACAAAAGAAACUCUUCCAUCAACUUCCCUUACUUCUUGCAACCUGAUGAAAAACUGGUUAAACAAGGAUGCAAUCCCCAGUCGAUUUAGCGGGUCCUUACUAUACCCGCUAACUUGAACCUUGGGAGAUUGAUCUCUGAAGCAUCAAUCUCGUGGAGAUAUUUUCCCCUUGUUGCUCAGAAGAUAUCUUUCUUCCCCACAUCUGGUCCUCAGGAAAGUGCACCAUCUACCAGUAUUAUGCCUCAAGAUCUGGCAUUUCAAUUGUCUUCCUUUUCAGAGAAAGACUAGAUGAAACUCAUUCCAGAGACCAACAAUGCCAUGUCUUUGUGGACCACAAGGACUGCCUAAAGUGAGAGGUGCUUUCAUCUCUAUAUAUUAAGGUGGGAAGCAGUGAUAACAAAUCACUACCAUAUAUGAGGAAUCAAGUCUACUCAACCCUCCAAAAGUCUUACUACAAGAUAUCAUCAUUAGAAGGACAACGAUGAUCAUCAUGUAACUGAUAAACAAUGAUCAAGGAUCUCCUCCAAAAUCAUCCCCAUGAAGAUGCUAUAUGACAUCCGGUCAGAUGCUAUAUGACAUUCGGAGUGCUGGAUGGCAUCCAGUGAAUGAUGAAAAGGAACCAACAGGACAUUAAAUUGUGAUAUUCUCCACUUUCAUCCAUUCAAAACUUUAAAGGCUGUCGACCACACUUCAUUACAACCAAACUUUGGAAGAAGAUACCACUAAACUUGAUAUAAUUAAUUUUUCACCUGAUCUCCUGCAGAUUCAUCACACCUCUUACUGAAAUCAAUUCAGAAAGAAUGAGACUCUUAAAGGGUUCUUUGUUCUGUGCAAAUUAUGAAUCUUCAGUGUGUGAGUUGAUUAAAACUUCACAUGAAUGGGUUAUCCCUCUUCUGGUUCACACAAUUAUGG